rnacentral:tRNA from 1 species
GGCUAUGCAUGUAGCUCAGUGGUAGAGCACUUGCCUAGCAUGUGGCAGGCCCUGGGUUGGGUCUUUAGCACCACAAAAUGAUAAUAAAGUAAUAAAAUAAAAGAGUAUGAAAACGGGCUUUUAGUUAACAUAAUGUGAUUUGAAUGACUUGAAAUAACAAGUGUCAAGCUUGGGGUGUAGUUCAGUAACAGAGCACUUAUCUGGCCCUUACUAGAGGCCCUGGGUUCAGCCCCCAGCAGAGUCA